CCUGUCUCAUUCAAAACAUUGGAGUAAGAAAAACAAGGUGAAAACAUUUACGUUAGGAGACAUACAAGGAGAAGGAAGAUAACAGGCAGAAAACAGAAUUAGGUAAAACAAACAGUGGUUUGGACUUACAAUGGUGACCAAGCUGUCAGAGUACUCUGUAGUUUUACUCCUAUUAUUCUGCCUUCCAGAGACAAUCUCCAAUAAGAGUACACCAAAGCUGUAAACAUCUGCCUUGUCUGUCAGCUGGCCAUGAGCUAGGUAUUCUGGGGCCAUAUAUCCCCUGUGAAAUUGUAAAAAUCAUAUCUCAGCAAAUGAUGGCUACUGACUUGGUUAUGGGCAAAUGGUAGACUAAUCCCUCUGCCGUCCCUAUAAUUAUCUCAAAUCUCUUCUCCCAGUUAAGUGCUUUACCUUUAUUUGCAUC